AAAUGAAUAGACGGGGGCCCGCACAAGCGGCGGAGCAUGUUGCUUAAUUCGAGGCAACGCGAAGAACCUUACCUGGGUUGAACUACGUGGGAAAAGCCGCAGAGAUGCGGUGUCCUUCGGGGUCCACGAUAGGUGGUGCAUGGCUGUCGUCAGCUCGUGUCGUGAGAUGUUGGGUUAAGUCCCGCAACGAGCGCAACCCUUGUCCUAUGUUGCCAGCGGGUAAAGCCGGGGACUCGUAGGAGACUGCCGGGGUCAACUCGGAGGAAGGUGGGGACGACGUCAAGUCAUCAUGCCCCUUAUGUCCAGGGCUGCAAACAUGCUACAAUGGCCGGUACAAAGGGCAGCUAAACCGCGAGGUCAAGCGAAUCCCAAAAAGCCGGUCUCAGUUCGGAUUGAAGUCUGCAACUCGACUUCAUGAAGCUGGAGUCGCUAGUAAUCCCGGAUCAGCAACGCCGGGGUGAAUACGUUCCCGGGCCUUGUACACACCGCCCGU
rnacentral:rRNA from 1 species